rnacentral:rRNA from 1 species
GUUAAUGGGUGAUAGCGUGCCUUUUGUAGAAUGAACCGGCGAGUUACGAUUUGUUGCAAGGUUAAGCGGAAAAAGCGGAGCCGUAGCGAAAGCGAGUCUGAAUAGGGCGCAUAAGUAACAGGUCGUAGACCCGAAACCAGGUGAUCUACCCAUGUCCAGGAUGAAGGUAAGGUAAUACUUACUGGAGGUCCGAACCCACGCACGUUGAAAAGUGCGGGGAUGAGGUGUGGGUAGCGGAGAAAUUCCAAUCGAACUUGGAGAUAGCUGGUUCNNNNNNNNNNCUUUAGGGCUAGCCUCGAGGUAAAGAGUCAUGGAGGUAGAGCACUGUUUGGACUAGGGGCCCUUCUCGGGUUACCGAAUUCAGAUAAACUCCGAAUGCCAUGUACUUAUACUCGGGAGUCAGACUGCGAGUGAUAAGAUCCGUAGUCGAAAGGGAAACAGCCCAGACCACCAGUUAAGGUCCCCAAAUAUAUGUUAAGUGGAAAAGGAUGUGGGGUUGCUUAGACAACCAGGAUGUUGGCUUAGAAGCAGCCACCAUUGAAAGAGUGCGUAAUAGCUCACUGGUCGAGUGACCCCGCGCCUAACUCGAUAUACAGCCCACCAUCAAGCCUCUUUU